AUUCGAGAUAUUUAGUUAAUGUUUAACUCAUAUACGUAAAUGGAUCAAUAUGAUUGUAUUUUACGAUGAUAGGAGUCGAUUUCAAUAUUAACAACGAGUCCACACGCACGUCUUUACAUGGCGUACUCCAGUUUAUUGAUUAGGCUAAAAUGAGAGGCGCAAGACCUAAAGACCCUGGACGUCGAGUUGGUCUUCCGACCGAAGACACCAGAAAACGUCACCAACAGUCGUCUAGCGUUAAACAUUUACACGCUCAGUCAUACUUGGAUUACAGGGGGAACCAUCAUCCAUUAACACAAGAUGACGAAAACUGGACAGUUGCUGGAGGAUUUAGAAAUCGCAAUCGUGGCGAGGCUAAUAGAGGUAGACCUUAUAGGGCGAAUGCUAUGACUCAUCACCAUGGAAAUCACUAUUCAACCUCCACAACGACCUAUGGAGACUUUAGGAGAGAAAGCCGUACAAAGGGAAAAGGAAGAGUUGGAGAUUUUGCACCGACCCCAAAUAGGCCUCCUAAUUAUCAAUUAGAUGGAGGAAGAUGCCAUUACGCUGAAACGAAACCCAUUGUAAAACCAUUAAAUAUGAAUGAUCUCAAGAAAAUACAUCAGACGCAGUCGCCUAAUGACGUGGUGCAUAUGUUAUCCAACCGGGCCGACAUGCUCAAAGCACUCUUAAAUGAAAAAAAAAUUAACAAUGACGUCACUGAAAUUCUACUCAGGAUUUUUGUAAGGGUAUUUGAGUACAAAACAUCUAAAAAAGUUUCAGAAAAAAUAAAAGCAGUAAUAGAUAUGUUAAAAGACAGUACAUUUUUUAAGAGUGUACUUCAGUUAUAUACAGCAAAUUUAGGAGAUAAAUCAAACACAAAAAACCCAAGUCAAAUUGAAAAAAAGAUAGCUCUCCUUUCGAUAUUUCUACGAGGGUUCAUUCCUGGACCUGAAUGCGAAGUGAAAGAUCUCGAAAUGCAUAUAACACUCCUUGACGCCUCUAGUAAAGCCUUGUUUGUACAACGAAAUUUGUCACAAGAAGCUGUUAUUGAGGUAGCACGUUUAAAAAAAGAAGUGGACAAAUGCAUUACUGAAGCAAAGGAAGAAGACAAGAAGAGACGACAACAUGCCUCUGCCAUCCGAGAAGGUAUUUUUGAUGGCCCACCGCCUGAUGACUAUCGGGAUAUUCCGAUAUUACCAACCAAAGAUGACCUCCAGUCAAUGGAACCACCGUUCCUUCGGCCUAAUAAAACUAAAGGAAGUUACUCAAAUCAUAUUCAUUAUCUCGAUGUUCAAUUCCGAUUGCUGCGAGAGGACUUCAUUGGCCCUUUACGUGAUGGAAUUCAAACACACUUGGCUAAUGUAGCAAAUCCUCUUCCACGUAACCAGAGAAAAAGGAAUACAGAUGUUCGUCUGUACUAUGACGUUCAAAUUGACCAUCCUGUAAUUUCUGAAAACGGGGUACAUUAUCGCGUUAAAUUCAGUCUCGGUAACUUAACGCGUGUAAAGUGGCAGAAUACAAAACGAUUAAUUUUUGGCUCACUUGUCUGUUUAUCACAUGACAAUUUUCAAACUCUUGUUUUUGGAACGGUUGGCAAUAGAGAAGAAGAAUUACUACGCCAUGGCCGAGUUGAUCUUAAGAUCCAUAAUAUUGAAAACGUAGAAAAUACACGUGUAUACACUAUGGUCGAAUCAACAGCAUUUUUUGAGAGCUACAGGCCUGUCCUGCAGGUACUUCAACAGUUCAAUGAAGAAUCUAUACCGAUGGAAAACUACAUUAUUCGGGCUUCACACAACAUAGAACAACCAAAAUAUCUGCGUAAUAAGAGCGGCCUAAUGUACGAUAUUAGUUCUUUGAUGAAACAAGAAAUAAGAACUUACAAUAGGGAUAGACGACGACCCAUGGGCCUUCGUCACGAAAAUAGAAUUAACAUACUAGACGACAAUGCAUGGCCCGAAUUUAACAAACUAACACUUGAUGAAUCACAGUUAAGUGCUGUAAAGGCAGCAUUGACAAAAGAGCUUGCGGUUAUUCAAGGGCCACCAGGAACUGGAAAAACAUACAUUGGAUUGAAAAUUGUUGAGACUCUUCUACGUAACAAAUCACAUUGGUCGCCAAAUAAUGAUGAGUAUGCAGAAUAUGUUGAACAUAAAAGUCCUAUAAUGGUGAUAUGUUAUACAAACCAUGCGCUAGAUCAAUUUCUUGAAGGUAUUCUUGAAUUUUCUCCAAAGAAGUUAGUCAGAAUCGGUGGACGAUCUAAAAGCGAAGAACUUGCACGUUUCAACCUGAGAGUUUUAUCAAAAAAGUGCAGACGUAGAUCAGAUAAUUUCAAAAAGAUUAUAGAUGCCAUAAGUGACCAAAUGAUACAGGCUGAGGAGAUGAUAAAAUUGUGCAACAAAUACAUAUUAAGUGAAUAUACCCUUGAAGCUGUUAUAAAUGAAAAUCAUUUCAGAUGUCUACAGGACUCAAGAGAAGAAUAUUUGGUGGACGGAAAUCGUUCAACUUUACCUACAUGGCUUGGUCUUCUUUCCACUUCAGAUGAAUUUGAAAAGACAGAAGACGUUGCAGAUGCUGACGACGAGAUUAAAGAAGAACAGGGUGAUGUUUCUAACACAAAGAACAUUACGACUGAAUUCGACAUGCUAAUGUAUCAAAGGGAGUAUGAUGAUACAAGUGAUAGAAAAGAUUAUGAAACAAGAAAGAAAUCGGUUUUGCGCACCCUAUACACUAAACUCGCUUAUAAUCAGGAAAUGAAAUGCAGAGAUUCACCAUUGAAAGAGCAUUAUGCGACAUUGAUAAAACAACUAUCCAUCACUGAUGAUGAAAUGGAUGAACAGGAGGCCAACAGACUUGUCAAUAUUCGCAAGUUAUCUCUGAAUAAUCGAUGGCGUCUCUACCGAUAUUGGCUAACCCAGUACAAAGGUACAUUGCGUAAAAUUUUAUUCAAUCAGCAGCACAGUUAUGACCAAUUAGUAGGCAGGAGAAUUCAUGAGCAGGACCACGAAGCUAAAUGUGAAGUUAUAAGGGAUGCAGAUGUAGUCGGUAUGACAACGACCGGUGCUGCUAUGAAUAAAGAGCUCCUGAAUGCCAUUCGACCGAAAAUUGUCAUUGUUGAAGAAGCUGCAGAAAUACUAGAAGCACAUAUAGUAACAAGCCUGACAAAUCAAUGCGAACACCUUAUUCUUAUUGGAGACCAUCAACAAUUAAAGCCUAAUCCUACAGUAUACAAACUUGCUACCAAAUUUCAUCUGGAUACUUCACUCUUUGAAAGAAUGCUUACAAACGAUGUCCCCUGUCAGAGACUGUCAUCUCAACACCGCAUGCGACCAGAGAUAUCGAACAUCAUGAGGAAACACUUUUACAGUCAUCUCCUUGAUGACGAUUCGGUAAAUCACUUUGAUAAUGUUAUGGGAGUGAGCCAUAACUUGUUCUUUAUAAAUCACGACAUCAAGGAAGAGUCUGUGGAGGAUAUUUUGAGUAAGUCAAACGUUCACGAAGCUGAAUAUUGUUUAGCUCUUGCAAAUUACUUCUUCCAACAGGGUUACGAGGCAUCAUGUAUCACCAUCCUGACUACCUAUACGGGACAGGUGUUAAACUUGAAAGGAAAACUCAGAGAUAAGAGGUAUGCCUGUCUUGGUGGUAUUUAUGUUACUGCAGUCGAUAAUUACCAGGGGGAAGAAAAUGAUAUCAUACUAUUGUCUUUAGUAAGGAGUAACGAAGCUGGGAACAUCGGUUUUUUAAAGGUCUCAAAUAGAAUGUGCGUAGCAUUGUCGAGAGCCAGAAAGGGUUUAUUCUGUAUUGGUAACUUCACACUUUUAGCGGAAAAGAAUGACCUCUGGAUGAAGAUAGUGAACGAUAUGCGAUCUUCAGGUCGUAUCGAAAAUCAUCUUUUGUUGCACUGUCACAACCAUCCAGCGACGAAGGUUAAAGCGUUUAUUGCAAAAGACUUCGAAAAAUGUCCAUUAGGAGGAUGUAACCGUAUGUGCGAAACUCGCCUCGAGUGUGGUCAUGUAUGCCCUAAGUAUUGCCACCCUAAAGAUCCACAUCAUGAAAAAUACGAAUGUAGAGAACCAUGUGUCAGAACCUGUGAUCGCAGUCAUCCAUGCAAUUAUUUGUGCUUUAUAAAGUGCCCUCCGUGUACAGUCAUUGUCAGUAAAGCUCUGCUUGAUUGUUCCCAUGAAGCUAAUAUACAGUGUGCCAAAUAUAACCAGCCAAUUGAUUGCAUGGAGCCAUGUGAAAGGACAUUAAAGUGUGGCCACAUAUGCAGACUUAAAUGUUUUGAGAGUUGCACCUCGCGGAGAUGCUUAGAAAUUGUUAAUAAAUCAUUUGAUCCUUGUGGCCACGACAUUCAAGUAGAAUGCUACAUAAACUCAUGUCAACUACCCUGUGAAAAAUUGUUAACUUGUGGUCAUGUCUGUCAAGAAAAAUGCGGAUAUAUGUGCACAACCAAAUGUAAAAAACUUACAGAUAAGACAUUUCAGUGUGGACACACUGUAAAUGUCCCUUGCUUUACACCUUCCUGUAUUUUGCCAUGCCCACGUGAAAGACUGUGUGGUCACCCAUGUCCUGGACUAUGUGGUGAGCCGUGUGGCGACUGUUUGGUUGAAGUCAGAAAAGAACUUCCAUGUAGACAUUUGAAGAUGUUGUUUUGCUAUGAAAAUGUUGAAAGUGUUACUUGUAAAAAAAUGUGCACUAAGACAUUACCAUGUGAACACCCAUGUAAGUUAAAGUGUUAUGAAAUGUGCGAUGCUACUUUAUGUACUAAACUGGUUAAAAAAAAGCUGAAAUGUGAGCAUGAGAAAGAGGUACCUUGUAAUGUAAAUCUUGAAACAUUAUACAAAGAAAAAGAUAGACACUCGCGUUAUGAGAGUUUGGUAACCCGUGCCACAUUUCUCCGUAGCAAGUUUUCAAGACUACCAAAGCAAAUGGAAUUAUUAAACUGUAACGUGGAAGUUAUUUUAACUUUGGGAUGUGGACAUGAAAUCACAAUCGAGUGUUAUGAAUCAUCAAAUAUCGAUAAAAUUAAAUGCAAGAUAAAGGUUAUUGAAACACUAGAUUGCGGACACGACGUCACUCGUGAGUGUUCAAAAAUCGGUGUAUGUUUUGAAAUGUGUUCAAGGCUGUUAUCAUGUGGACAUAAGUGUAAAGAGGCUUGCGCUAAUCCGUGUACAAGUCAAUGUACUGAGAUUGUGAAGAAGAAACUAAAGUGCGGGCAUAAUAAAACUGUGAAAUGUUAUGUAGAUGUCACAGAGAAUGUCACUGAGGGUGAGGCAGCUUGUAAUUUUAAGAUAAAGGUCCAACUACCUUGUGGACAUGAAGAAACACAACUUUGUUGCAGGAGUCAUCUACCUAUUAUAUGCAGUAACCGAUGUUCCAAAAAGCUGUCGUGUGGUCAUUUUUGUACGAAGAAAUGCUCAAAAGAAUGUUCAAUCGAUAGUUGUAAACAGGCAUGUACUGCCAUAUUAGCCUGCGGACAUAAAUGUAAAGGAAACUGUACAGAGUGCUCACACGGACGGGCACAUAGUACAUGCCUCCAAAUUUGCAGAAAGACGCUUAUCUGCGGUCACGUUUGCCAACAGACAUGCUCUAUUACUCCAUGUUCACCAUGUAAAAAACAGUGCAAUUCUACUUGUCCACACAGAAAAUGUCGUAGAGCCUGUGCUGAAAUGUGUGAACCAUGUAAAUCCCCAUGUGAGUGGAAAUGCCCCCAUUUAAAAUGUACAAACGCAUGUGAUGAGAUGUGUAAUCGUGAGAGAUGCAAUGAACCGUGUCACAAGACUCUCAGAUGCAAACAUAAAUGUUUAGGUCUUUGUGGUGAACCUUGUCUCCGUAGUUGUUUAAAAUGUGAUCCGGCUAGAUAUGAUCCAGCUACAGCAAAGGGAAAUAGACCAAAAUAUGUCUACUUGUAUGAUUGUUCCCACGCAGUUGAAGUUUUAAAAAUGGAUGCAUACAUGGAUACAGUUGAAGGUUUGCAACGAAAAGAAUGCCCCAUAUGUGACACAAUCAUCAGAUAUAGUACAAGAUAUGGUAAUGUGCUAAAAAAUAUUGAUGUAAAAAUUGCAUCGAUGAAGCGCAUGAUGUUUGCUGAGCGAUCAAUGCAACAAGUGCAAGAAAGACGAAAACAGAUUAUUGACAAAUUGUCAGUCCUAAAAACAAUUGAUCCGAGAAAACUAUUAGAUGAAGUAAACUCACGCUAUGGAGUAUCAUAUGAUAGAAUGCUUGUAAUUAACAUCGUGAUCACAAUACUCGAAAAAAUAGAAUUUAUUCGUAUCGACUUAAAUCAACAAAAUGAUAAUAUUGGUAGUCAACUGAGCAAUCGCCAUAUAUCUCAACAAUUAGAUAAAGUUGAAAAAAUAGUUUUGAAUUUCACUAAUAGUGUUUCUAGACAGGUGUUGGUUGAUUUGUAUUCAGACUUGCAACGCUUGAAUACUUGCACCCAGUUAAGAAAUCGGGAAUAUCAGGGUAACACUACUUCUGAAGAUUCCACAAAGAUCAACAACAUGUUAUCGAUUAUGCUUUAUACGAAGAUACCGGUAACUCUUGAAACUAGCCUCGAUGCUUUUAGUCUGAUUGGACCAGAAAGCGUAGAAGAAUUAUCAAAAGAAACAUUAGAUGUGGUUGAGAAAAUCGUUAAUACAGGUUCAAGUUUUUGUCAGGACACUUGGAAAACAUGUGCGAUGGGCCAUAUACUGGCUAGGAAUGGAAAUGAAGGAAACGUGCAGAACUGUCCAGAAUGCAAUACUUCCAAGAUUUUUGAAACCACUCAACAGUUUAAUCAAUCGAGAGGGUUUUCAGAAAAUACGAAGGUAGUGAAUCAAAAUGUUCAUGAAAAAGGCGUUAGAAAUUUGAAUCAAGUAGACAAUCGUGAUUUGAAAGUCGACAAUAAUCAAAAUCAAAAGAUAUUGUCGAAGAAUCAACGUCGGCGACAGCAGAGACAAAUCCAACAGGAACCUAAAAAUGAAAACGUAAACAAAGGUUUAAAGGUUUCGACAGACACUCGUACUUCCUCUCAUCCUCAACGACAAGGAAAAGAUUCGCCUUUUAAUAAUAUGAAUGUUGAGAGAACUCGAAGAAGUCACCAACAGCAGAGUAGUAGUGCACAGUCAGGUAGCAAAGCCAUCAACAAAAAUGUCAGUAAAAAAACUGAGAAAUUGCAAGAUGAACGGAAAAAAGAAAGCAACAAAUCUGUAUAUAGCACUAGUCAAGGGAGAAACUCGACUAACCAGACUCGUAAACCACCAGCGGAGGGUGAAAGUACUCGAACGAAACAGCGACAGCAGAGCAGUAGUGCACACACAGGUACCAAAGCCAGUAACAAAAAUGUCGACAACCAACCUGAGCAUUUCCGAGAUGAACGGACAAAAGAGAACAACAAAGCUGUAUCCAGCACUACCCAAGGGAGCAAAUCGACUAACCAGACAAGUAAACCAGCAAACCCAAGACGAAGAAAUAGAAGCAGAGGCAGAGGUAGAGGUAGAGGCUCAUCAUUUAAAAAUUAAGAUAUAAAAAUGAAAAUUUAGGCUGACAAGAAAUUAGCAUAUUGCGAAAAUGUAUAUCCGUAGCGUCCUUCAAGGGCCUCUAAUAAAAGGUGUCACAAUUAUCAUCGGAAUUAUUCUAAUUUUAAUUUUAUAUGAACAAGAUUUUUUUUUAAAAUUAAAUAUUAUAUUAUUUGGAACGAUUUACUCUAGUUAGUAGAUUCUUGCUUGUAAUUUAUUACAGUUUGUAAGCUCCUAAGGACACCAGGCUAUAGCACGAAUAUUACUGUACAUUUCUAUUUUUAUAAUCCAAAUAUUCAGGUUUUAAUUAUAUGAAACUUGCUAGAAUAUAGUCGAGGUUGAUUAUAUGGUUAGGUUAGUUGUGCAACAAAACGAAUGUUAAAUGGUAACAUUUAAAAUCUUCAGUUUGCACAUUUUUUUAAUUUACUUUUUCCCAAUGUCUUUUUUUAAUUCUAAGUUUAGAUCAAUCAAAUGUUAAAAGUUAAUCAAACAACUAGAUAUAAAAUUUCAUCAGGUGACCGUAAAUUCAACACAUUUUACUUCAAUUAAUUCAACCGAUUUUUGAUGUUUCAAUCUUUAUUAGAUCAACAUCAUAAUAUUUGAAAAUAAAUACAGCUGUCAUUAAAAUCUGGUAUGACAGAAUAUUUGAAUAUCAUUGAAUUAGCCAUUUACUAUUCUCAUCAUAAUAAGAUAAGCUUAAAACGUGUAUAAUAUUUUAUUUCUGUUGAUUGUUAUGUUUAAUAGUCGGGCACACACUGCGUCGUAAGAUGGUCGAAAGACUGUCGGCUGACGAAUGUUAUCUGAUCUCAGUGAGCGCUUUACGACGGCUGCCGAUUGUCGAGGGUGGCAGUGGAGUGGAUUGUCAAAACAAAGCUUCGCGCACCACGUCGCGUUAAAUUUUCCUACAGAAUCGCAUUAGCCGACGAGCGUAGGCCCAGUGUGUGGCGACAGGCUUUAGUAAUAAAUUUAAUUCAUAUUAGUUGGCCUAUAGUUUUAUUUCCUGCAUUAUUGAGGGCUUUCUAAACUUUUAUUGAGAAAUAUAGGUACACGUUUUGUUAAUAGAAUUUUUCAGGAGUAUUUUGAUUGUGUGUGUGUGCCAAAGGGUAUAGCAUGCUACUUUCUUCAUUCUUCAAGAUAAUUUUUUUUUAAAUUUCCUUCACAUACAACAGCAAGUACACUCGCCACUUAAGUUUGGAAUGAUGCUUUAUAAAUAGUCUCUUUAUGAGGCCUAGGGAGUACAGUUCUUUUUGGUGGUGAGAAAAUCCUGCUGCUGAGACAGGAAUUGAACCCAGAACCCUGGGAUUAGAAGGCAAGCAUCUUAACCACCAAGCUAUUCAGCUCCACUCGAAUUAAACAUUUAUCGAUACAUAUACAUCACUACAGUUCUAAACUGGUUAAGAAGUGUAGAUUUGUAGGUGUUCAAGAUAUAGCAUGUUAGCUGUUCCUCACUCUUUAAAAAAUAAAGCAUUCAGUGAUUUAUAUAAUCUAUAAGUAUAGUUGAUUGGUCAAAUUGAAUAACAAAGUAUUUGUUCAUUGUCUUUUCCUGUAGUGGUUUAAAUCGAGAUUCUUGGCACAAUGAAGGGUACAUUUUGAUUCCACAUACAUAUAUGCUUAUAUGCAGUAUAUAAGAAUAAACUAUUAUUAUUAUAAAUUAUUAUUAUUAUUAUCAUUAUUAUUUUUUUAUUAUAUACAUAAACCAGUAGAAUUAUAGUAUAAUUAAUAAUUUUAAUGUUAUAAGUCAUAUUGUAUUCCAAUGAUGAUGAUGAUAAUGACAAUGACUAUGAUGAUGGUAAUAGACCUAAUAUUAUUGCAAUACUUACUGUGUAGUAUAUUUAUAUGGUAUGAAAUUUUAAUGUUUAUAUUUAUUCUAUUGCUAAUUUUAAUUUAGUUUGUAACUGAUUGGCGACCCACUCGACAGAGAUCUUGAAUCUCUUUUUUCCAAGUCUCAUUUUGCUUUUCUUAUAUUUGUAUUUUUUAAUGAUUUUUAAUUAAACAAGUAAAUAUAAUGAAAUGAAAUAAUUAAUUCUAACCGGUGAUCAAUGAAGAGGUACCCGAAUAGUAAAUGUCUAUCGUCAGAAUUAUCGUGGAUAUGACAAUUGGGGUACAUGGUAACAGUGUUAGCGCAUGUUUAUCUUCAUUUACAAUUUCUUAAUUACAGUUUCCCAUGCGUGUUGUUCAUUGUGAUUAUGGAUGUACUGACGAAACCCAGUUUUAUUCUUCUUGGAUAAAACUGUCAAAUAUAGUAGAUAUGAAAGUUCGGUUAGAAUGAGCUUUCGAAAAAAGUAUAUCAACAUACUCUACGAACAACAAUACGAUUGAUUGUUUCACAGAAGUAUACUAGGACUAUGGUAUGUUUUCAGCGGCAAUGUACUUAAAACCACUUGUUAAAGUGUUAUUUGUGUUGGUAUGAAUAAUGCAUAACAUUGGUGGCACAACAUGUGUCGUAACGGUAUUCUAUUGAUGUAAAGGAUGGAUCAUUUAAAAAAUGUGUAUAACUUACGGAAUUAUUACAAAUGUACUCAAAACAGAAAUGGAAAUGUUAUUUAAGAUAAACAAUACUUUAGAUGUUCGGCGUUUUGUAUUAAGCCAUAUUUUUAGCCUGCACUGAAACUGGGGUUAAGGUAAUGGUUAUUAUGUGUCAGGCCUACCUCCAUACAUAGCGUCGUUAUUUUAAAUCUUUAAAAGGAUUUCUUUAAGCACAGUUUUCAUGAAAUUGUUACAGUGUUUUGCUGCAAUCUUUACACGUGAUGCGAAUUUAAAAGAUAAGUGGAGUAUGAUAUUGACAUGAUGAUGAUAUUAUUUGAAGGUUUGGCAUGGUGAAUUAACAAUAAUAUUAAAUGCUUGCAAUAGAGCACAUCAAGA
rnacentral:misc_RNA from 1 species